CCACAGAAGUGAGGUGGGGAGGGCUAGGGGCCAUCUGGGAAGAACAGAAGCUGGGCCGGAGACCGGACGUGACGAGAGACAGGAGGCAGGUCCAGGAUGACCACGGGGCUUUUGGCCAGAAUAGCCAGGUGAAGCGAGGCUGGAGUGAGAGUGGAGACGUGUCCAGAAGGGCCUCUGCUUGAGAACGAGAAGCCGGGCCACCUGCAGACCUGGACUCACCAUCUCGGGGCAGCCAACAGCGUGAAAUCGGCACGGGACUCGGCAUCUGCCACAUGCCCGGACGUGGUCCUGAAACUGACGGGCCUGGAGUCAACACCGCUCCGCCUCUGCUCUGGCCACUCACCCCUGCGGCCCCGACCAGGCCUCCGAGUCCCAGAAAGCAGCCCUGCCGUCUCCCCCCCACAGCCGGUCUAUGGCCCCGGGGCUCUAAGGCCGGAGAGCGACCCCAGACACUCAAAAGAAGAGAAGACAAAUGGACUCUGUCAGACGCACCACGGCUGCCUCCCCAAAAACAGGCCACAGGGCUCUCAUCCUCCCCCCAGAGCUGGAGGACUGGAGAGACAGCCGGCCAAACAGGUCAGAUCCCCACACAGCUAGCAGGGACGUGAGAUGGGCCCGCGAGACCACGUGCUGUGUGAGCAGACGAGAGCUGCUGCCCACCCCACCCUGCCCCACCCUCAGAGACAGAGACCCCCAGCAAACUGGGAGCCCCGACACAGCGUGGAACACCCAAGCGCCAGGUCCCCGCCCCCGCGGGCCAAGGGCGCAGACCCCGGGUGGUGCCUUGGGGGGUGGGGGGGCGGGAGAGACAUGGCGCCCACCCUGGCCCAGAGC